rnacentral:rRNA from 1 species
CUGGCCCUAGUACGAGAGGACCGGGUCGGACGGACCUCUAGUGUACCGGUUAUCGUGCCAACGGUAUUGCCGGGUAGCUAUGUCCGGAUGAGAUAAGCGCUGAAAGCAUCUAAGCGCGAAACUCGCCCCAAGAUAAGAUAUCCCCCAGCAUAAGCUGGCUAAAGGACCCUCGGAGAUGACGAGGUUGAUAGGCCGGAGGUGUAAGCACAGCAAUGUGUUCAGCCGACCGGUACUAAUAGUCCGUGCGGCUUGAUCG